rnacentral:rRNA from 1 species
UACGGGGGGGGUAAGCGUUGUUCGGAAUUACUGGGCGUAAAGGGCUCGUAGGCGGCCAACUAAGUCAGCCGUGAAAUCCCAUGGCUCAACCAUGGAAGUGCACUCGAAACUGCAGAGCUAGAGUCCUGGAGAGGAAGGUGGAAUGCUUGGUGUAGAGGUGAAAUUCGUAGAUAUCAAGCGGAACACCGGUGGCGAAGGCGGCCUUCUGGACAGUGACUGACGCUGAGACGCGAAAGCGUGGGGAGCAAACAGG